UUGUGUCUCCACGUCCAGGUUUGCUUGUGCUAUUCUUUGUUCUUUUGCACUUCUUUGUUAGCCUGUCUCUUGUUGACCUCUCUCUAUGUUCAAUGUUUAUGUGUGUGUGUUUGCUUAUGCUACUCUUUAGUUUAUUCUUUGUCAGACCUUUUAUCAUAAUGGUUAAAAGCAUUCCAUUAAUCCCAACUGACACUUUUCCUUCAAAUUUGAAUUUAGA
rnacentral:misc_RNA from 1 species